UUCGGGGGCAACGGUGACAGGUGGUGCAUGGUUGUCGUCAGCUCGUGUCGUGAGAUGUUGGGUUAAGUCCCGCAACGAGCGCAACCCUUGAUCUUAGUUGCCAUCAUUUAGUUGGGCACUCUAAGGUGACUGCCGGUGACAAACCGGAGGAAGGUGGGGAUGACGUCAAAUCAUCAUGCCCCUUAUGACCUGGGCUACACACGUGCUACAAUGGACGAUACAAACGGUUGCCAACUCGCGAGAGGGAGCUAAUCCGAUAAAGUCGUUCUCAGUUCGGAUUGUAGGCUGCAACUCGCCUACAUGAAGCCGGAAUCGCUAGUAAUCGCGGAUCAGCAUGCCGCGGUGAAUACGUUCCCGGGUCUUGUACACACCGA
rnacentral:rRNA from 1 species